UACAGAGGUCUCAACCGUUGUUCAGAUUCAUUGGGCGUAAAGGGUGCGUAGGCGGUCGCGUAAGUCAGGUGUGAAAUCUCUGGGCUCAACCCAGAAACUGCACUUGAUACUGCGUGGCUAGGAUACUGGAGAGGAGACUGGAAUUUACGGUGUAGCAGUGAAAUGCGUAGAUAUCGUAAGGAAGACCAGUGGCGAAGGCGAGUCUCUGGACAGUUAUCGACGCUGAGGCACGAAGGCUAGGGGAGCAAACGGG
rnacentral:rRNA from 1 species